GCGAACGACGGGAAUUGAACCCGCGCAUGGUGGAUUCACAACCCACUGCCUUGAUCCACUUGGCUACAUCCGCC
rnacentral:tRNA from 8 species